CAUACUGGUUUCUGUUGUUCUCAGAGACACACUGAGACCUUUCACAUCUCACUGUCACUUCUUGGAAGGGCUCUCUACCUCGUCUGCCUGCUGAGCAACCUCUUGGGGAGACGCAGGCCCUCUUGAGUCACUGAACUUGAGCUAUUUGGUGUUGAUGUUGGAAUUUCUGAUGAAUCUGCAGUCAGCAUUUUGCAUGAACUGUGUGUGGAUUCAUUGCCUACAUUGGAUGAUGAAGACUUGAGUGUUGCUACUAAGGCCCUGGUGUGUGAUGUUCCCCAUCCUGUGUCCAAGUGUUCUCAUUGUUCAGUUCCCACCUAUAAGUGAGAACAUGUGGUGUUUGGUUUUCUGUCCUUGCAACAGUUUGCUCAGAAUGAUGGUUUCCAGCUUCAUCCGUGUCCCUACAAAGGACAUGAACUCAUCAGUUUUUAUGCUGCAUAGUAUUCCAUGGUGUGUAAGUGCCACAUUUUCUUAAUCCAGUCUAUCGUUGAUGGGCAUAUGGGUUGGUUCCAAGCCUUUGCUAUUGUGAAUA